rnacentral:ncRNA from 1 species
ACCAAGGAGUCUAACAUGUGCGCGAGCCGCGGGGCAGUACGAAACCCGUAAGGCGAAAUGAAGGUGAACGCCGGCGCGGUCCGGCGGAGGUUGGAUCCCGUCCCGUCGGGGCGGGCGCACUACCGGCCGAUCUUCUCCGCCCUGUCGGCGAGGUCGAGCGAGAGCGUGCAAGUCGGGACCCGAAAGAUGGUGAACUAUGCCUGAGGAGGUUGAAGCCAGAGGAAACUCUGGUGGAGGACCGUAGCGAUUCUGACGUGCAAAUCGAUCGUCAAAUUUGGGUAUAGGGGCGAAAGACUAAUCGAACCGUCUAGUAGCUGGUUCCCUUCGAAGUUUCCCUCAGGAUAGCUGGCGCUCUGUCGCAGUUUUAUCUGGUAAAGCGAAUGAUUAGAGGUCUUGGGGGCGAAACGCCCUCAACCUAUUCUCAAACUUUAAAUUGGUAAGAAGCCCGACUCGCUCGUUUGGAGCCGGGCAUGGAAUGCGAGUGCCAAGUGGGCCACUCUUGGUAAGCAGGACUGGCGAUGCGGGAUGAACCGAACGCCGGGUUAAGGCGCCCGACGCGACGCUCAUCA